rnacentral:lncRNA from 1 species
GAGAAUUGAUUACAUCACUUCGUUCACAUUGUGUAGGAUAAGAUUGCCCAACAUAGAUACAAAGACAUGAAAGCUUGGGAAGGCAAAUUCUUCAAACUAGAUCAUUGUUGGGAGUUGCUUCAAAAGUACGAGAAGUGGAAGUUGAUCGACAAAGAAUCUUUGUUGCUCGCCAAAGAGAACAAGAUCAUGUCAAUGAACCGCAAUGACAUGGACGACCUCACCAAAACAUGGCAUGAUAUGGCAAGGAGAGAGAUCUUGAAGAGGAGAAUGGUCUUUUCUGCUCCAUAUGGUGGCAAUGCCGAUGAAUUUCAAGAUGGACUCGAUGGCAUGGUGUGAAGAUGGACCAAGAUGAUGCAAGACCCUCUUUUGCGUUUGUCGUACUGAACUUGGCUUUUAUUGGCGCGUAAAACUGUGUUAUGUUUGUUUGAAUUUGAACUUAUUUAUGAUAACUUAUGUCAAAUGCGAGAAUUGAGAAAUUUUCUACUAGUAUGCCGCAUUCACUUUCACUUCAUAUUUCUAAGAAGCACUAAUUGCUUGACCACAUCUAAAAGAAUAUCCUUUCAGAGAAAUGAUGCCAUGCACAAGAAGCCUCCCCGUUCAUCAUUAUCGCUGUGCCCCUGAACUAUAUAUCUAUCUCACAUGUGCCAUGUCUUUUGAUCUUUGUUCCUACAAUUACUUCGAAACUGCUUUGUGUUCGAUCAUUUUUCAUCCGACACUUGUACGACUAGACGGUGAAUACAUUAUGGCCCACAGUCUGAAUCGUCUUUGACCGUGCCAAUGUUGGAUGGCAAUUUGUCGAGUAUUGCGCUGUUGCAACCAGUAUACCUGAACAAUAUUAUGGCUGAAGUAUUAGUUCUGCUAUCAAUAGCACUGUUGAGAAGAUUAGCAACUACAUACUUCGUUUCAUUGGCUUUCAACAUUUCGGAGAAAAGAGCCUGCCUGUUUGCUUCUGCAUCCGGGAUUUUACCUUUUAUUUAUUGGGUUGCGC